CAAAAAAUUACCAUAAAUGAUAAGUUGAAAAAAAUAUAAAAAACAAACAACAACUAAAAAAACAUUUCAAAGCUCUGGAAAUUGUCCUAAGGAUCACUGGAAGUGAAAAAACAUUUAUUUAAGAAAAUCCAAUAAAUCUUGGAGAAUCAACAAAUGGUAUUCUCCACAAAUGGAAUCAACCCCUAGAAGUUCCUGAGAAAUCCCUGUUGAGUGGGAAAGGACCUAGAGCCAAGGAGACAAGG
rnacentral:lncRNA from 1 species